GUGGGGAAUCUUGCGCAAUGGGCGAAAGCCUGACGCAGCCAUGCCGCGUGAAUGAUGAAGGUCUUAGGAUUGUAAAAUUCUUUCACCGGGGACGAUAAUGACGGUACCCGGAGAAGAAGCCCCGGCUAACUUCGUGCCAGCAGCCGCGGUAAUACGAAGGGGGCUAGCGUUGCUCGGAAUUACUGGGCGUAAAGGGCGCGUAGUCGGACAGCUUAGUCAGAGGUGAAAGCCCAGGGCUCAACCUUGGAAUUGCCUUUGAUACUGGCUGUCUUGAGUUUGGGAGAGGUGAGUGGAACUCCGAGUGUAGAGGUGAAAUUCGUAGAUAUUCGGAAGAACACCAGUGGCGAAGGCGACUCACUGGCCCAAUACUGACGCUGAGGCGCGAAAGCGUGGGGAGCAAACAGGAUUAGAUACCCGUGUAGUCC
rnacentral:rRNA from 1 species